GAGGGUAUAGCUCAAUGGUGGCAGAGUGUGUGCUUAGCAUGCACCAGGUCCUGGGUUCAAUCCCCAGCACCUCCA
rnacentral:tRNA from 1 species